GCUUCCACAUCACAAGAAAAAUGUACAAUAUAUUCAGUAGUUGAACCUUCCAGGAAGUCUGGAUCCAAGAAGAGGAACCAGAACCCUUCCUUAAAUUGCACCGUGUAUGAAGAGAUUGGAAAGCAAUGGGUCAAACCUCAGAACCCUGCCAGGCUGAGCCGCAGAGAGCUGGAGAACUUCGAAGCUUAUUUCUAGCUGUUGGAAGUGGUCUCAUCCUGUGUUACACAUCAGCAUUGACUUUGGAAGGGAGAGCAUCAAAUGAUGAUGAAUCUGUCUGUGUCUGUGGACCAGCUUCUAGGCUGGAGAGGAUGCCGUUAAUUCGUGGUUUUAUUUUAUUAUUUUUCUUUUUAGAUAGGAUCUGACAUAGCUCAGCAUGACCUGAAUUUGCUAAGUAGCCAAGGACGACCUUAAACUUUUGAUCCUUCUGCCUAUGCUUCCCAAGUUUUGGAAUCACAGGCAUGUACCACUGUAGAUGGCUUGGAAACAAUUUCUAAUAGCCACUGUAUGAUCAAGUUUGUUAAAAAAAAGUCCCCCAAACUUAUAGAUCAGAUAGGAAUGGGUAGAGAGGUUGUAUUGGCCACAUUCUGAGCCGUUAUAACCUAUGAUUUAUGUUUUAUUUUAUUUUAUUAUCAAUUGUAUAAUUUAAAAUUAUACACCACUGUAUAAAUGUGAAGUAG
rnacentral:lncRNA from 1 species